rnacentral:lncRNA from 1 species
CUUUAUCUUAGGCUGGCAAAUGAAUGUGUACUAGUUGGGGAAAAGGCAGACAUUGUAUUUACCAGAAACUCAUAAACCACCAGAAGCUAUGCAGAAAUAGCAGCUCAGAGAGGCAACUGACCUGCCCACAGCCCCAGGAACCAGGUCUAGAGGGACCCUGCUGUAUCUUUGCCUGAGAGAUGGAGCUGUCUGUUACCGGCACAGCCUGAAGGGGAAGAAGACCAUGGAGCUGCCUCACCUGCUAACUCUUCUCGAUUGAACCAGCUCUCCACUUGGGAAUUUGACUGCAACAUGCCUUCUCAGGACACCAGGCAUCCUAGCCUUAAGGAGGGCACAGGUACAUUUUCCUAGGCCAAAUUAAUAUGGAUUUUGAAUUACCUUCUAUUGUUCAGAAAGAUCCUUUCUGCAUUGGUGGCUUUGACAUUUCCCAGGCUGCAAGAGCCAUGGAUCUACUCUGACAGCUGCGUUGGAGAAGGUUCUGAAAGUCUUCUUUACAUCCCUAACCAGACAGGUCAUCAGGAAACUCCUCCAACAAGCGCUGAC